AAGACUUUAAGACAAUCCUGAAGCCAUUUUUGACAAUUCUGAAUCCUCUCAGCCUCUGUGCCAUAGUGCUUCCCCUCCUCCCCUGGGAACCAAGGACCUAACAGCUACACUUGCACGUACUCAGUUCCUGAACAAUUACCCAUAUACGUAUGCUUUGGUUCUGUCCCCUGGGAAACGAGGUCAAAAUGACCUCUUACCUCAUCUGAUCUGGCAACAGCUCUCCAGUCAAUUAUUGGUAAUAGCCCUUUCAAAUAAGCCAAUCAGAAUAGUCAAAGAACAACCCCCCUUGCUUCUGUGGCCCCUUUAAAAGUAGACUGUACCCGCUAUUCGAGGUCCCUCGGCUUCCCGAAUGCUGGGGGACCCUGUCAUGACAGAAUUAAUAAAAUCCUCAUGCUUUUGCAUCGGCUGUAGUGUGUGAGAUGGUCUCUGGGGGCGACUCCUUCUCGGUGUUUGGACGCCAGAGUCCAACAUUUGGUUCCCUGACCGGGAAUCGAGUCGCUCCCAGACACACUCUAGACCCAGUUGGAGGGCUAAAAUUUGAAGGGGACCAGGCAGUGGGACAGACGUGUCCGGGAACACUCCCUGGCCCAGCCGUGGAGGACGCUUCACUGGCAAUUUGUGAAACUAGGAGCGACUAGGUCAUCUUAGUUUCUAGGGAGUGUGGCCCUUAUCGCCCACUCCCUUCCAGGUUCGUAUCAGUUUGUUGCCGCGCGGCUUCUGAUUUUGAGUCUAUGUCUGUCUUUUUGUUCUUGUGUAUUUUCAGUUCUACACCAGAGUGGUGGUGAGAGCACCAGCUUCUGGUUUUGAGUUUAUGUCUGUCUCUUUAUAUUUUUUGUUUUUGUAUGUCGGCUUGUCUUUGUUAAAAUCCACCUGCAGGAAUUCAGAACCUGGCACCGGCCCCCUGGCCAUCAUCAGUUUCCCUGAUU